rfam:Alphaproteobacteria bacterium 62-8 SCNpilot_cont_300_bf_scaffold_685, whole genome shotgun sequence.
CCGUGGGCCACGCCUCCCCAACGAGGCGCUUCAUUCUGGAAGGAAUGACGAU